UAAUACGAGGGGGGCAAGCGUUGUUCGGAAUUAUUGGGCGUAAAGGGAGCGUAGGCGGUUUUGUAAGUCGUGUGUGAAAUCUUCGGGCUCAACCCGAAGUCUGCACACGAAACUGCAGGGCUUGAGUAUGGGAGAGGUGAGUGGAAUUCCUGGUGUAGCGGUGAAAUGCGUAGAUAUCAGGAGGAACACCUGUGGCGAAAGCGGCUCACU
rnacentral:rRNA from 1 species